UACGUAGGGUGCGAGCGUUAAUCGGAAUUACUGGGCGUAAAGCGUGCGCAGGCGGUUCGUUGUGUCUGAUGUGAAAGCCCCGGGCUCAACCUGGGAAUGGCAUUGGAAACUGGCGAGCUAGAGUGUGGCAGAGGGGGGUGGAAUUCCGCGUGUAGCAGUGAAAUGCGUAGAGAUGCGGAGGAACACCGAUGGCGAAGGCAGCCCCCUGGGCUGACACUGACGCCCAGGCACGAAAGCGUGGGGAGCAAACAGG
rnacentral:rRNA from 1 species